CCGCCAGCGAGCCCUAUCCGAGCCGGUGUUGUGUCAGAACAGCAUACCUGUCAGAGGAGCAUACUUGCAGAUAAUGCGCAUGUGCGCGCAUGCGCAUUACUCGACAACUCCGGUACGUUCUACAGAGGCGUCAGAUGAGCAUACGGACUAGAAAAGAUCGGCGAAAAAGUGAAACUACGACUAAAAUUUAAGUAAUUCAUUUAUAUUCUUUAAUGUUAACACAUUAUUUGAUAUAUUUUGUACUUUAGUCACAGUUUUCAGUGUGCAGUGCAUUUUUUUGACUGCCAAUUUCUGCACGUAAUUUAAUCGCUGAUGAAACAACUAAACUUUGAUGCCUGAACGUCAUGUAACGGCUAUGAAACAUAUUAAUAGUAACAAGAAGUAAAAAAAACAAUACAAGACCAACAAUUAUACAGUCCGUGAGGAAAUUAAAGUCAGCAUUUUAAAGACGAAAGGGGCUAUUUUAAUAGAUUCAUAUAAUAUGAACAUGUUUCUAAUUCCGUGUUCCUCCUGAAAAAGUUUUGUUUUUGACUAGAAAUAUGAUUAAAUAACAUGUCUGACUACUAUGUUAGUGAGUUUUUUAUACUUUAUUUCUGCUUGCUUAAACUAUUUUGCUACUUGUUUAAAAACGCAGGAAUGUGAUUCAAAACUACAAACCAGGAAGCAGAAAAAUAUCUAGAUAUAAACCAACACAAAAAAAUUUGUCUCAAAGUGAAACAUGUUAAAAACCAUAUUCCUUUUAUGUAUCUACCCGUAAAUCAUAAUUUUGUAAGGAAGCACACAGAUAAGAUGGUAUAAGUAUGGAAAUACCACACAGACAGAGAGGAAAGCUCUACAAAGAGUCAUAAAGUCUGCAGAGAGGAUCAUAGGAAUAACACUUCCUUCCAUGGACUAUGUGCACAUACAACACUGAAUUCCAAUGUGCAGGGACUGUUGAUCCGUGUGCAAAUGGCAAAUAAAUGUCUUCAGUCUUGAGAUAAGAAACAUUUUAGAAGUAAAAAAUUGUUUGAAUGCUGCCUCGUCAUAUUUAUAAUAAUUUACUUCCUCAACAUGCGGUUGUUUUCAGUGUAUAUGAACAUAAUUGACUGUAUAAUUAUUUUUUUUAAAUCAGAAGUUUUAAUUUUCAAAUUACUUCCUUGUUUUCAUUUUUUACAGUAAAAUGGAAGGCAGAUGGGAUGAGAUAUUUAAUCUCCUUACCAAGGGUUCCUAUCCGCUGCACUACACCAAAGGACAAAGGCAAAGCCUAAGGAAAUAUGCCUCUAAAUUCAGCAUUCAUGCUGGGGGUCUAUUCUUUGGACCCUUGCCUAGGCGAAAAGCCAUUAAAUCAAAAGAGGAGGCUUGGACCAACUUUAGGGAAAUCCAUUCUUCAAAAAUGGGAGGACACAGUGGCAUUGUGAAAACUCGCAAAUCAUUGUGUUCUAAAUUUUAUUGGCAUGGUAUGCCUGCAGACAUUGAGAAAUGGUAUGUUACCUCAUUGUUAGCAAUCUCUAAUAUACAAUAUUUAUAAAUUUCAUAAAACAAAAUACAUUUUCUAGCUGUCUGAAUGUGACCAUUGCCAAAGAGUUGGACCUCCACUGAAGGUAGUCGAAACACUGGAUUGCAUCAAGGUAUCUGGUGUGUGGGAGCUGGUCGGAAUGGAUCUGACAGGUCCGCUUCCCCAGACCCCUUCUGGCUACAAGUACAUAUUGGCAGCCACGGAUUAUUUUUCAAAGUGGGUGGAGGCUUUCCCUCUGAAAACCAAGUCUGCAGAGGAAGUCUCCCAAAAUUUAUGCACGAUUUUUUAUCGGCAUGGCUGUCCUCUGCGCAUUCUUACAGACCAAGGGCGAGAGUUUGUGAAUCAAAUCAACAGCAAACUAUGUGAGCUCCUUUCAAUUGAGAGGAGUGUGACAGCAGCAUAUCACCCGCAGACUAAUGGAUUGGAUGAAAAAACAAAUGACAACAUUAAACGGGCCCUCAGAAAAGUUGUUAAUGAAAGGCAGGAUGAUUGGGAUCUGUAUCUAGAUGCCACUUUGUUUUCACUGAGGUCCAAAAUGCACCCCACAACAAAAUUCUCACCAUUCUACCUAAUGUAUGGAAGAGAGGCAAGGUUCCCAUGUGAACUUCCUGUUGAAAUGCCGUACUUAAACUUUGGUCUUUGAAAGACUCUGGCCAAAUAGAAGCCCUGGUUGGUCCAUACAAACUGUAUGAUGCAUCUUUUCGUACACUAUGUGGACAUGGGUGGCUGUCAGAUGAAAUCCUAGAUGCUUAUCUCCAUCUCAUUGUGGAAAAAGGCAAGAUACCAAUAUACCGCAUGGAUGCAGUAAUUGGAUCAUCUUUAUUUCAUCUAGGGCAGCACAGGGCUUUUCGAAAAAUGGCGUUCCCAGAAGCCUCGAUUUGGUUGUGCCCUGUAAAUGUCGGUGGUCAUUGGAUUUUAGUGGUAUGUUAUCUUUGUUCCCAGAACUACAUCAAUCAAUCUUCAUGUGGAUACUUUUAAAAAGUAACAGAUGUCAUACUUAAUGAACAGCUUGUCAGGAUGGAUCACAAGGAGGUUAUUGUGAUUGACCCCCUUGGCCAUGAGAGGACUUACCAAAGAAGAAUUCUCCGUAAUUGGAGGAAUUUCUUGAGAGCCAAAGAUGCCAGACAGGGCAACUGGAAGGUCAAAACUCUGCCGCAUGGCCUGCAGCCCGAUGCCAGCAGUUGCGGGGUCUUGAUUUUGAGGGUACCAAGAAUACAAAUGCAAUAAUUUUUGUAAAUAAGAUUUGAAAUUUAAGAUAAAAUUUUUGUGUAGUUUGCAGAAAGCUUCUUGCAGGUGGGAGAUCUGCAGUCUGUUAGCAAUGGACCUGCUCAAAUGUUCCAGGACAGGAUGGACAUUGCAACAAAACUGCUGCAAUGCAAAGGUGAAAAAUACAUAUAGCAUACAGUUUCAGUCAUUUACACAUUCUUAUUUUUUUAAUAUUGUCUCUUUAACCUUCUGGAUUAAGCUAAGAUGUUUGGACAUGGUGUAUGGCAGACAAGACUUAGUUUGUGCAUGCACAAAGGAUACAUUUUGAGAUGUAAUAGAAUAUUGGAUUACAGGUAUGGUAUAUGGAUGUGUUAAAUGAGGACAUGGUAAGUGUCACGAUUACAACACAUUCUUCAAAACGAGCUAUUAUUUUAGUUAAAAUUCAAGCUAGACAGUUGGGUUGAAGCAGAACAGUUUGGCACUUUUAAAUCAUGAAGCCCUGGUAAUGGGGGGAAAACCCAAGCCUACCAGAGGCAUGAACAACUUGCCCUUUAUGUAGUCAGUGAAAACAGACAUGAAGACUCAGCACAGUCAUUGGUGACCUGGAAGCAGUGGCAGCAAGAAGGAGCAUGUGCGAAGGGGCAAACACAAUACCCUUUGCUGAUAAUUAGACAGUUCAUUGAAAUCAGGUGUGGGUGAGACCAUCCUGCUACAUUUACCUUGCUAUAUUUAGUCUGAUUGUGUUCAAAGAAAUUCUCAUUUGUCUAUCUUUAUAUUACAGAUAAGGUGGAAGCCUACUGUGUUUCAUGCAACAUGUUGCACUAUGACACAUGAUACAGUGCGACUUCUGUCCAAGAUGGACUCACAAAGAGUGUGCCACCCAUUUUGUUGACCUUUUCAAAUGUAAAAAGUGUGAAAUGCAAUAAGUGUGUGUGUGUGUGUGUGUGUGUUUUUUAACUUGGAAAUAAAGUUUGUAUUAGGGUUGUCACGGUAACCGGUAUAGCGGUAAACCCCGGUAAAAAAGUUGACAAUAAAAAUAACCGUCCAGUUUUUAAAAAACUAUAUUAUCUCGGUGGGUUUACCGUGGCCGCGGUUUCGGCG